UACGGGGGGGGCAAGCGUUGUUCGGAAUUACUGGGCGUAAAGGGUUCGUAGGUGGCCAACUCAGUCAGACGUGAAAUCCCUCAGCUCAACUGGGGAACUGCGUCUGAUACUAGAUGGCUCGAGUGCAGGAGAGGACGCGGAAUUCCAGGUGUAGUGGUGAAAUGCGUAGAGAGUCGGGAGGAACACCUGUGGCGAAGGCGGCCCCCUGGGCCCGGCCCUGACACUGGAGACGCGAAAGGCGUGGGGGAGCGAACGGG
rnacentral:rRNA from 1 species